rfam:Aedes albopictus isolate Foshan contig116759, whole genome shotgun sequence.
CAAACGGCCCUUUUCAGGACCACUGAAAAUAAUUCCUCAAAAGUUGU